rnacentral:rRNA from 1 species
AGACCCGAAACCCGGUGAUCUAGCCAUGGGCAGGUUGAAGGUUGGGUAACACUAACUGGAGGACCGAACCGACUAAUGUUGAAAAAUUAGCGGAUGACCUGUGGCUGGGGGUGAAAGGCCAAUCAAACCGGGAGAUAGCUGGUUCUCCCCGAAAGCUAUUUAGGUAGCGCCUCGUGAAUUCAUCUCCGGGGGUAGAGCACUGUUUCGGCUAGGGGGCCAUCCCGGCUUACCAACCCGAUGCAAACUGCGAAUACCGGAGAAUGUUAUCACGGGAGACACACGGCGGGUGCUAACGUCCGUCGUGAAGAGGGAAACAACCCAGACCGCCAGCUAAGGUCCCAAAGUCAUGGUUAAGUGGGAAACGAUGUGGGAAGGCCCAGACAGCCAGGAUGUUGGCUUAGAAGCAGCCAUCAUUUAAAGAAAGCGUAAUAGCUCACUGGUCGAGUCGGCCUGCGCGGAAGAUGUAACGGGGCUAAACCAUGCACCGAAGCUGCGGCAGCGAACGUAUCACCCAAGACAACUUUGCGGAGUUGACGAUUGACGGAGCGAAGCGACGUCAAAGCGUUCAUUAAAGUCGAGUUGGCUUAGGGAUACGUUCGUUGGGUAGGGGAGCGUUCUGUAAGCCUGUGAAGGUGUGCUGUGAGGC